rnacentral:rRNA from 1 species
AGCGCUGAGGUUGGUACUUGUACCAACUGGAUGAGCAGCGAACGGGUGAGUAACGCGUGGGGAAUCUGCCUUUGAGCGGGGGACAACAUUUGGAAACGAAUGCUAAUACCGCAUAAAAACUUUAAACACAAGUUUUAAGUUUGAAAGAUGCAAUUGCAUCACUCAAAGAUGAUCCCGCGUUGUAUUAGCUAGUUGGUGAGGUAAAGGCUCACCAAGGCGAUGAUACAUAGCCGACCUGAGAGGGUGAUCGGCCACAUUGGGACUGAGACACGGCCCAAACUCCUACGGGAGGCAGCAGUAGGGAAUCUUCGGCAAUGGACGAAAGUCUGACCGAGCAACGCCGCGUGAGUGAAGAAGGUUUUCGGAUCGUAAAACUCUGUUGGUAGAGAAGAACGUUGGUGAGAGUGGAAAGCUCAUCAAGUGACGGUAACUACCCAGAAAGGGACGGCUAACUACGUGCCAGCAGCCGCGGUAAUACGUAGGUCCCGAGCGUUGUCCGGAUUUAUUGGGCGUAAAGCGAGCGCAGG